GUAAACCUGAACUGGAAAUCCAUCUGGCCAGCUGCCUGCUCUAAUGAAUAACCCCACUUUGGCGCGUGCAAUGUAAGCAGAAAGUUCUCUCCCGGCCUCUUUCGUCUGUCAUGAAUCUACGAGACAGCCGACAUAAUAUCUGGGCGACAACGGUGCGCUAACAGUGCACCUUGAGGAGCAUGUGCCUGGUUCCAAGAGGAGGAUGAAAAACAUAAAGACUGGAGACAUCCUAUCUGGGUUCCCCCAGACAAGUUCAGCCUGAUCAAGGAAGCCCCCACUGACCUGGAAAUCCACAAGGGAUAAUGAAGAGUCGCUGACUGUCUAAAGCCACUGCCUUUGAGAGUGGUUUGUUGUACAGCAGCAAAUAUCUGAUACAAUUAUUUCCCCAUGUGUGUUACUACAGAAUGUCUGACAAGAAUCAGGACUGUUCCAGGGCUUUUGGAGCCCUCUGGUCUCUCCGGAUGGUGACAUUCUAUCUUGACAACUCAGAUCCAGCCACCAGAACCUGAAGCCCAGAGCAGACCCUUGAAGGAAUAAGCCAGCCUACCAUAAGCUUGACCCAACCAUCAUCAUCACCACCAUCUUCACUUGGGAGAGUUAAUCCCCCCCCUGCAUCAAGAAGAGAGAGAAAAAAGCACAGAGAGAGAGAGGGGAAAGAAACUGAAGAAAAGAUGAAGGAAGAAGGCAAGAAAGAGAACACUGAUUUCUUUCUCUCAGAAACAGAUGAACUUUCUCUAGCUUCAAAAUGGCCUAUGGUAUUUCUAUGAAGACUGGACUCAAAACCAUUCAAAGAAUUUAUAUCUUUGUUAAACUACACGGUAAGUU
ensembl:lncRNA